rnacentral:rRNA from 1 species
UACGGAGGGUGCAAGCGUUGUCCGGAUUUAUUGGGUUUAAAGGGUCCGUAGGCGGUUUGGUAAGUCAGUGGUGAAAGCCCAUCGCUCAACGGUGGAACGGCCAUUGAUACUGCUAGACUUGAAUUAUUAGGAAGUAACUAGAAUAUGUAGUGUAGCGGUGAAAUGCUUAGAGAUUACAUGGAAUACCAAUUGCGAAGGCAGGUUACUACUAAUGGAUUGACGCUGAUGGACGAAAGCGUGGGUAGCGAACAGG